UCUCUCUCUCUCUCUCUCUCUCUCUCUCUCUCUCUCUCUCUCUCUCUCUCUCUCUCUCUCUCUCUCUCUCUCUCUCUGUGUGUGUCGCUGUAUGUCUUGCUCACUCCCUUUCUCUCUCACAGUUAUGUCAGCCUCUCUUGCUGAUGUCUCUGUCCCUCCCUCUCUCUCCUUACAAGCUGACUCCCUCACUGCCUGUCACUGAGGUCUUUGUCUCUGAGCUGCUUUGAAAACAGACAGAAAGAGAGAAAGAAAGCGCCAGAAUAAUGGAGAGUAAAGACCAUAGACGUAGACAGUGGAAUGCAGAAUGUGCAAAUGUCUGACUUUAGCCAAACAUGGUGUGACUGCUAUUCCUCGUAAACCCCCUUUACGUUGUAAGAUUCUUUGUUGAAAUCGUUUUGUUCAUGCUAUGUCUUAUCAGCUGAACAUCCGACUAAAUGUAACUAAACUAAACUAUUUCGCCGCUGGCUUGUGGCUGUUGGGUUCUGUAGAAGCUAAUGAGAGAAGGGGGCGUCGGUGCAAAAUAGAAUUAACAUAAUUGUUUCAGCUGUAGAGCGAGGCAUUUGAGGAUGAGAGUCCUGGAGCCGGCUAUUAUUUGAGGAGAGAAAACGAGCUACUUUUUCGAGCGUUGCCUUGCAACUCCCUCUCUGUGCUCUCUUUACUGUCCUUUUUUUAAUGGUGGCCCUGGCUCAGGAGGUAGAGCAGGUUGACCCUACCGGAAGGUUGCUAGUUCGAUCCCUGGGUCCUCCUCGCUGAGUAUAGGGGUUGUCCCCGACCAAGGCACCUCUCCCCGACCUCUCCCGAUGAGCUGGCUGUCGCCCUGCAUGGUUGACACCACCAUGUGUGCAUGAAUAGCUGAAUGUGAGGCAAUAAUUGUAAAGCGCUUUGAGAAAAGCGCCACUGGUUAGAAAAGCGCAGUAAAUAAAUGCAGUCCAUGUACCAUUUGCAGGCAGCCUUGGAUUGGUUUUGUCGUCUUAUCACGUCCCACUGAUGGCUGCUCAGAGCCAUCUCCUCGCCACGGGUAUUUCCGACGCUGUCUGUCAAUCUGUCAUCUAGAUCCGUGGCAAUAUCUACAUUUUUAAUCACGAACCGGACGUUGAUGUAAAGGGGCUGACCUAUCGCAGAUGGGAAACACUCAUCAUCGCCGUGGUAACGAGAUUGCAACAGCCUACCCAGGCUGAUCUCUGCGGUCUCCUCUCCCUUUACUUCUGCCACCCCCCCCCCCCCCACCCGCCCUCAUCUACCCCCUCACCACUUCCUCCGUCUGCCUGUGGGUGGGUUGUAUGUGCAUCAACUGAAAGUCCAACUUGAAGGACUUUUAAGUCCACUAACCGAUCAGAUCCAUAGCAGUGAACACCUUAGACAUCCAUGGUGUAAUGCUAACACUGCACACACUUCACUUUACUUCUGUGUGUCUGUUUGUGUGUCUUUUUAUUAGGGAUCGACCGAUUUUUUUGACCGAUAACCGAAGCGGGCCAAAAGCGUUGCUGUUUUACCGACCGGAUACGGCAAGAGUCUUAUCUAUCGGUUAGCUCCACUGGUCUGGAUACGGCACCCCUUGCAUUCUUCUGAUUGGUCGAAGUGUUAUCCAACGAGUGUUAUUCUUCAGUGAUAUUUUCAAAUGCAUGCUUGGUGCCUCGCCACGGGUAUUUCCGACGCUGUCUGUCAAUCUGUCAUCUAGAUCCGUGGCAAUAUCUACAUUUUUAAUCACGAACUGGACGUUGAUGUAAAGGGGCUGCCCCUCGAGUUGGGCCAUUUUCAUUACUCGUUGCCAGACCCUACAGCUUUCUAGAUGUGGGUCUGGAUUACCAGGCUAAGCCUCCCUCAAUUUACAUCCUACAAAUGACACAAUGAUGAUAACAAAUGUUACAAUGUGUCAAUUUUCCAAAAAUUUAAAUUUAUUGAACUGUCUGUAAAUCAUCCAAAAAGAAACGGCUGAUAAACGUAAAAAAAAAAGCAAAUAUAUGCCGAUAAUAUCGGCCGGCCGAUAUAUCGGUCGUUCACUAGUUUAUAUGUGUGUAUCAUGGGCUUUGUGUGGCUGUGGGUGUGUGUGUGUGUUACCAGGGGUGUGUGUGUGUGUACCCAGGGGUGUAUGUGAGUCUGUAAGUGUGUGCCAUGGGGUGUGUGUGUGUGUGUUUGUGCCUGUGUGUGUGUGUGUGUGUGUGUGUGUGUGUGUGUGUGUGUGUGUGUGUGUGUACCCAGGGUUGUGAGUCUGUGCUCAGGGGUGUGUGUGUGUGUGUGCUUGGUUUUGUGUGUGUGUGCCCACCGCCCAGCGGUAUGUGUGUAUUGGGGGG
ensembl:lncRNA